CAAUCUGCCCUUCACUCUGGGACAAGCCCUGGAAACGGGGUCUAAUACCGGAUACUGACCCUUGCAGGCAUCUGCGAGGUUCGAAAGCUCCGGCGGUGAAGGAUGAGCCCGCGGCCUAUCAGCUUGUUGGUGAGGUAAUGGCUCACCAAGGCGACGACGGGUAGCCGGCCUGAGAGGGCGACCGGCCACACUGGGACUGAGACACGGCCCAGACUCCUACGGGAGGCAGCAGUGGGGAAUAUUGCACAAUGGGCGAAAGCCUGAUGCAGCGACGCCGCGUGAGGGAUGACGGCCUUCGGGUUGUAAACCUCUUUCAGCAGGGAAGAAGCGAAAGUGACGGUACCUGCAGAAGAAGCGCCGGCUAACUACGUGCCAGCAGCCGCGGUAAUACGUAGGGCGCAAGCGUUGUCCGGAAUUAUUGGGCGUAAAGAGCUCGUAGGCGGCUUGUCACGUCGGUUGUGAAAGCCCGGGGCUUAACCCCGGGUCUGCAGUCGAUACGGGCAGGCUAGAGUUCGGUAGGGGAGAUCGGAAUUCCUGGUGUAGCGGUGAAAUGCGCAGACAUCAGGAGGAACACCGGUGGCGAAGGCGGAUCUCUGGGCCGAUACUGACGCUGAGGAGCGAAAGCGUGGGGAGCGAACA
rnacentral:rRNA from 1 species